rnacentral:rRNA from 1 species
GAUGAACGCUGGCGGCGUGCCUAAUACAUGCAAGUCGAGCGAACGGACGAGAAGCUUGCUUCUCUGAUGUUAGCGGCGGACGGGUGAGUAACACGUGGAUAACCUACCUAUAAGACUGGGAUAACUUCGGGAAACCGUAGCUAAUACCGGAUAAUAUUUUGAACCGCAGGGUUCAAAAGUGAAAGACGGUCUUGCUGGCACUUAUAGAUGGAUCCGCGCUGCAUUAGCUAGUUGGUAAGGUAACGGCUUACCAAGGCAACGAUGCAUAGCCGACCUGAGAGGGUGAUCGGCCACACUGGAACUGAGCCACGGUCCAGACUCCUACGGGAGGCACCAGUAGGGAAUCUUCCGCAAUGGGCGAAAGCCUGACGGAGCAACGCCGCGUGAGUGAUGAAGGUCUUCGGAUCGUAAAACUCUGUUAUUAGGGAAGAACAUAUGUGUAAGUAACUGUGCACAUCUUGACGGUACCUAAUCAGAAAGCCACGGCUAACUACGUG